GCACGAGACAGCAAACAUUUGAUGGAAGAUGUUAAUGGAGUCUCGAUUUGGGAAAGAAACUUUAUUCCCUCUGAGUUUGUGAGGCUAAUGAGUUCUGACGGCAUUUGUUGGGCAUUUUUUGGCAUCAUUUGGGAGGAGAAGAAGGCGUGGCUGAAAUAAAUGUCUGUUUGAGAAAAACGAACAACUUGAGCCUUGAUUAAGACCUCGGAGUUGUGUCUUCUGAGUCCACACAGGCGAUGUCUUCCUUCCUCUUAGCAGCAUGUCCAAAAGGUGGGGUUGCGGGGGCAGCAGCCUAAGCAGAGAUUUCCAGACUUCCGACAUGUUCCAGUUCUUCCCGGGGGAUCCCGAGGCGUUCCCAGCCGGGAGACAUAGUCUUGCCAUCGUGUCCUGGGUCUUCCCUGUGGCCUCCUACCGAUUGGAUGUGUCCUAAACACCUACCCAGGUAGGGGUCCGGUCCGGGGGGGGGGGGGCACCCAGACCAGAACCAUCUCAUCUGGCUCCUCUCCAUGUGGAGGAGCAGCGGCUUUACUUUGAUCUCCCCCCAGAUGACAGAGCUUCGCACCCUACCAACCUUCUCACCAGUACGCUUGUACCCGUGAUCUUGUCCUUUCGGUCCUAACCCAAAGCUCGUGACCAUGGUGAGAGUAGGACCGUAGAUUGAGAGCUCCUUCUUCACCACAACGGAUCGCGCAUUACUGAAGACGCCGUACCGAUCCACCAGUCAACCUCAUCGUCCACUCGUGAACAAGACUCUGAGGUACUUGAACUCCUCCACUUGGGGAAAAGAUCUCUUCCCCAACCCGGAGACGGCCGGGGCUCCACCCUUUUCCAGGCGGGAUCCAUGGACUCGAACUUGGAGCUGCUGAUUUUCAUCACAGUUGCCUCACACCUGGCUGUGAACCGAUCCAAUGAGAGCUGAAAACCCUGGUCAAAUCAAGCCAACAGGACCACAUCAUCUGGAACAGAGACCUAAUCCUAGAGCCACCAAACCAGAUCCUCUCAACGCCUUGACUGCGCCUAGAAAUUCUGUCCAUAAAAGAACAGAAUGGGUGACAAAGGGCAGCCUUGGCUUGAGUCCAACCCUCACUGGAAACGGGUCCGGUCCGGGGGGGGCACCCAGACCAGAACCAUCUCAUCUGGCUCCUCUCCAUGUGGAGGAGCAGCGGCUUUACUUUGAUCUCCCCCCGGAUGACAGAGCUUCGCACCCUACCAACCUUCUCACCAGUACGCUUGUACCCGUGAUCUUGUCCUUUCGGUCCUAACCCAAAGCUCGUGACCAUGGUGAGAGUAGGACCGUAGAUUGAGAGCUCCUUCUUCACCACGACGGAUCGCGCAUUACUGAAGACGCCGUACCGAUCCACCAGUCAACCUCAUCGUCCACUCGUGAACAAGACUCUGAGGUACUUGAACUCCUCCACUUGGGGAAAGAUCUCUUCCCCAACCCGGAGACGGCCGGGGCUCCACCCUUUUCCAGGCGGGAACCAUGGACUCGGACUUGGAGGUGCUGAUUUUCAUCACAGUCGCCUCACACCUGGCUGUGAACCGAUCCAAUGAGAGCUGAAAACCCUGGUCAAAUCAAGCCAACAGGACCACAUCAUCUGGAACAGAGACCUAAUCCUAGAGCCACCAAACCAGAUCCUCUCAACGCCUUGACUGCGCCUAGAAAUUCUGUCCAUAAAAGAACAGAAUGGGUGACAAAGGGCAGCCUUGGCUUGAGUCCAACCCUCACUGGAAACGGGUCCGGUCCGGGGGGGGCACCCAGACCAGAACCAUCUCAUCUGGCUCCUCUCCAUGUGGAGGAGCAGCGGCUUUACUUUGAUCUCCCCCCGGAUGACAGAGCUUCGCACCCUACCAACCUUCUCACCAGUACGCUUGUACCCGAGAUCUUGUCCUUUCGGUCCUAACCCAAAGCUCGUGACCAUAGGUGAGAGUAGGACCGUAGAUUGAGAGCUCCUUCUUCACCACGACGGAUCGAUACGGAGUCCGCUUUACUGAAGACGCCGUACCGAUCCACCAGUCAACCUCAUCGUCCACUCGUGAACAAGACUCUGAGGUACUUGAACUCCUCCACUUGGGGAAAGAUCUCUUCCCCAACCCGGAGACGGCCAGGGCUCCACCCUUUUCCAGGCGGGAACCAUGGACUCGAACUUGGAGCUGCUGAUUUUCAUCACAGUUGCCUCACACCUGGCUGUGAACCGAUCCAAUGAGAGCUGAAAACCCUGGUCAAAUCAAGAAAACAGGACCACAUCAUCUGGAGCAGAGACCUAAUCCUAGAGCCACCAAACCGGAUCCUCUCAACGCCUUGACUGCGCCUAGAAAUUCUGUCCAUAAAAGAACAGAAUGGGUGACAAAGGGCAGCCUUGGCUUGCGUCCAACCCUCACUGAAAACGGGUCCGGUCCGGGGGGGGCACCAAGACCAGAACCAUCUCAUCUGGCUCCUCUCCAUGUGGAGGAGCAGCGGCUUUACUUUGAUCUCCGCCCAGAUGACAGAGCUUCGCACCCUACCAACCUUCUCACCGCUACGCUUGUACCCGUGAUCUUGUCCUUUCGGUCCUGACCCAAAGCUCAUGACCGUGGUGAGAGUAGGAUUCUAGAUUGACCGGUUAAUUGAGAGCUCGUUCUUCACCACGACGGAUCGAUACGGAGUCCGCAUUACUGAAGACGCCGUACCGAUCCACCAGUCAACCUCAUCAUCCACUCGUGAACAAGACUCUGAGGUACUUGAACUCCUCUACUUGGGGAAAGAUCUCUUCCCCAACCCGGAGACGGCCGGGGCUCCACCCUUUUCCAGGCGGGAACCAUGGACUCGGACUUGGAGCUGCUGAUUUUCAUCACAGUCGCCUCACACCUGGCUGUGAACCGAUCCAAUGAGAGCUGAAAACCCUGGUCAAAUCAAGAAAACAGGACCACAUCAUCUGGAGCAGAGACCUAAUCCUAGAGCCACCAAACCGGAUCCUCUCAACGCCUUGACUGCGCCUAGAAAUUCUAGGGCAGCCUUGGCUUGAGUCCAACCCUCACCGGAAAUGGGUCCGACUUACUGCCGGCAUUGCGGACCAAGCUCUGACUCUGAUCGUACCGAGAACAGACCACCACAAUCAGGCGGUCUGAUACCCUAACUCUGAGCACUCCCCACAGGACUUCCCAAAGAACACGGUCAAAGGUCUUCGCCAAGUCCACCCAAAACUCGUGACCAUAGGUGAGAGUAGGACCGUAGAUUGACCGGUAAAUUGAGAGCUCCUUCUUCACCACGACGGAUUGAUACGGAGUCCGCAUUACUGAAGACUCCGUACCGAUCCACCAGUCAACCUCAUCGUCCACUCGUGAACAAGACUCUGAGGUACUUGAACUCCUCCACUUGGGGAAAGAUCUCUUCCCCAACCCGGAGACGGCCGGGGCUCCACCCUUUUCCAGGCGGGAACCAUGGACUCGGACUUGGAGCAGCUGAUUUUCAUCACAGUCGCCUCACACCUGGCUGUGAACCGAUCCAACGAGAGUUGAAAACCCUGGUCAAAUCAAGAAAACAGGACCACAUCAUCUGGAGCAGUGACCUAAUCCUGCAGCCACCAAACCAGAUCCUCUCAACGCCUUGACUGUGCCUAGAAAUUCUAGGGCAGCCUUGGCUUGAGUCCAACCCUCACUGGAAACGGGUCCGACUCUGAUCGUACCGAGAACAGACCACCACAAUCAGGCGGUCUGAUACCCUCACAGGACUUCACGAAGGACACGGUCAAAGGUCUUCGCCAAGUCCACAAAGCACAUGUAGACUGGUUGGACAAACUCCCAUACAUCCUCAAGGAUUCUGUUGAGAGUAUAGACCUGGUCCACAGUUCCAAGACCAGGACAAAGACCACAGUGCUCCUCUUGAAUCUGAGGUUGGACUAUCCUGUCCAGUACACCUGAACAGACCUUACCGGGAAGGCUGAGGAGUAAACAUUUUCAGGUGUAAACAACUCAGUCCGAUUCAGAUUCCUGGGUUAAAGAUUCCAUUCCGAAUCGAUUCCGGAUUCAAGCUGAUUCUGGAUUCACACCAAUUCUUGGAACAGUAAUUAUAAUGCAACUUUUUCUAAACAGGUUACAAGUUAAAAAAGUUAUAUCUAAUUUUAUUAGACGUCUUAUGAAAAGUUAUUUUCAAAAAAGUUCUUAUUUAAAAAAUUCUUAUUGAAAAAAAAUUGUAUUAAAAAAAAAUUCAAUAAUACUAAAAAUCCAUCUAUCUUUUACCGCUUGUACAAUAUUAUGUUUUAAUCCAUUUUUUUUUGUGGAUUUAAAAUUAGGAAUAAGAAUCGCGAUUCGGAUGUGAAUCGAUUUUUUUCCCAUACAAAUCGUGUUUCUUCUCAAUACA